GGCCACCUGUACGGAUAAUCCUCCUCCUGCCCUUGAUGCGACUUGUAUCUGCAACACUGGAUAUAGAGGAGAUGGAUUCGUUAAUGGAUCAGGUUGUUCAGUAACAACCGCGCCCCCUAGGCUCAUGCACACCGUACUGCACGGUGUCCAUGAAAAUUUGCAGCUCUUCUUUUCCAUGAAUGACACUUCUACCGUGGCAGACUGGGAAAAGUGGAGAACAGGGAAGGCAGUUCCGCGGGGUUAUAAGAAGGAGAGCAGUCCUCCUACGAGAGAUGGCAAAGUCGAGGUGAUCAACACUGUGGCUGUUCUUGAAGUCGGCCCGCUUUCUAAAGCGAACUCG